rnacentral:rRNA from 1 species
AGUGAACGCUGGCGGUAGGCCUAACACAUGCAAGUCGAACGGCAGCACAGUAAGAGCUUGCUCUUACGGGUGGCGAGUGGCGGACGGGUGAGGAAUACAUCGGAAUCUACUUUUUCGUGGGGGAUAACGUAGGGAAACUUACGCUAAUACCGCAUACGACCUACGGGGGAAAGCAGGGGACCUUCGGACCUUGCGCGAUUGAAUGAGCCGAUGUCGGAUUAGCUAGUUGGCGGGGUAAAGGCCCACCAAGGCGACGAUCCGUAGCUGGUCUGAGAGGAUGAUCAGCCACACUGGAACUGAGACACGGUCCAGACUCCUACGGGAGGCAGCAGUGGGGAAUAUUGGACAAUGGGCGCAAGCCUGAUCCAGCCAUACCGCGUGGGUGAAGAAGGCCUUCGGGUUGUAAAGCCCUUUUGUUGGGAAAGAAAAGCAGCAGGUUAAUACCCCGCUGUUCUGACGGUACCCGAAGAAUAAGCACCGGCUAACUUCGUG